UUAAUGGAGAGUUUGAUCCUGGCUCAGGACGAACGCUGGCGGCGUGCCUAAUACAUGCAAGUCGAGCGGGGUUAUUUAGAAGCUU
rnacentral:rRNA from 1 species